GAUGAACGCUGGCGGCGUGCCUAAUACAUGCAAGUCGAGCGAACAGACGAGGAGCUUGCUCCUCUGACGUUAGCGGCGGACGGGUGAGUAACACGUGGAUAACCUACCUAUAAGACUGGGAUAACUUCGGGAAACCGGAGCUAAUACCGGAUAAUAUAUUGAACCGCAUGGUUCAAUAGUGAAAGACGGUUUUGCUGUCACUUAUAGAUGGAUCCGCGCCGCAUUAGCUAGUUGGUAAGGUAACGGCUUACCAAGGCGACGAUGGGUAGCCGACCUGAGAGGGUGGUCGGCCACAUUGGAACUGGGACACGGUCCAGACUCCUACGGGAGGGACCAGUAGGGAAUCUUCCGCAAUGGGCGGAAGCAUUACGGAGCAACGGCGCGUGUGUGAUGAAGGUCUUCGGAUCGUAAAAAUCUGUUAUUAGGGAAAAACAAAUGUGUAAGUAAAUAAGCACGUAUUGACGGUACCUAAUCAAAAAGCCACGGCUAACUACGUG
rnacentral:rRNA from 1 species